UUAAGUUUGGUCCUUGUUCACCAGAGGUGCAUAGUAGUUGUCGAUGCAGAAGCUCAGAGUUUGCAGAAAUCAUCACAGCACAACUGAUGUUGAAGCAGGAUAAGAAAUCAUUCUGCCACCUAAGCCAAUGAUGGACUUCUCCAGAACUCUCUCUGUGCAUACAAAGAGUUCUUGCUAAAGGAGAGCAGUACUUGCAACCUAUUCUAAGUUCUAAUAGCACAAGACUUGAGGUGGGAGUCAACUGCUUUAGUCAUUUUGAAGGCUAGGUGUAUUGCAUAUUUGUUUAGUUGGUCCAAGUUGUAUCCAGCUGUAAAUGCAGAACAACUUCAGGAUUUUAUUAACUCACUAGUUCUGGCUAAGAUAGUUUGUUUAGUUAGCCAGAGAAUUAUUGUAAGCUCAAAUGCCAUAUCUUGUAAUUCUUGCAUCUUCUUGAUGUUGUUACUAAUACCACUUAAUAUAUCAAAAAAAAUAAUAGCACAAGACUUGAGGUGGGAGUCAACUGCUUUAGUCAUUUUGAAGGCUAG
rnacentral:lncRNA from 1 species